rfam:Triticum aestivum genome assembly, contig: Triticum_aestivum_CS42_TGACv1_scaffold_034243_1BL
UUUAUACUCCCUCCGUUCCAAAAUAGAUGACUCAACUUUGUACUAACUUUGUACUAAAGUUAGUAUAAAUUUGGGUCAUCUAUUUUGGAACGGAGGGAGUAUAUG